GGGGGUGAAAGGUCUCGACCCGGAUUUUCGGUUGAGAAGCAGCAUGUAGAGGUUGCUAGGAGGCCUCUAUAAACACCUGGCAAAAAAAUAAACGCAAACUACAAUCCAGUAGCCGAGGCUGAGUCAAUCUUGGCCGAGGAUGCGUUACAUGUUCCUGUAAUUACAGGAACAGCUCCAUUAGUAAGUAUCCUGGGAUACUAAUAGGAGUUCGAUUAAGCAGGGUAGCUUAGGGGUUAGCUUUCGGCCCUUAAGUGAAAAUUAAUGAAAGCUGCUUCUUUCUAAAAUCCCGUUUACCGGAGUUAGAAAGAAAAAGAUAAAAAGUAAACUAAACAUGUAGACACUUGCAGCUUAAAAACCGGGGACGCGGAUUCGAAUUCCGCCACCUCCACCA
rnacentral:tmRNA from 1 species